UCUGACCACAACAACACAGAUACACCUCUGUACCCACGACAUAUCCAAACAAUAAACACGCGAUUACGACAGUAAAGCUUGUUUCUCUGACGCUGUCAAAAUUUGCCGGGUGACGGUGGAUGCAAUGUGACUCCUGAUUAGUUGCUCUGGCAACCUCGGGAAUGUUCACUGGUGGCCAUGGCAACGACUGAAGCAUGGCGAUGGAGCCCUACAGAUUAUUUAGAUUUAGAAUGGGAAAGAGAAUAUAGAGGCAGACUGGCAUGCCACAAUGUCAUCACGGAGAUGAUGUCGCUCUUCAAUAAUACUGAUACAUUACUGGUGUGUAUAUGUGCAAUUUCUUCUGCAAUGAACAGAUUUUAGGAGCCUAUUUAGACACCGAGGGUGGGGGAACUGGUUAAUGGCAGCAAGACAUUCAGGUGGUAUUCCAUUACGCUUAAUUCUAUAGAAACCAAACCCAGAAAGACAGGAAACAUGGACAGCAAAGAAAGCACUGGGUGGUUAUGUGAGGGAAUGCACAGGGGAAUGUGGGAAUGUGAACGUGUGCUGUUAGCGCUACGAUGUUUCCCUCACUGGAGACACAUAUUUGCC
ensembl:lncRNA